rnacentral:rRNA from 1 species
UUCGAGUGGCGGACGGGUGAGUAACGCGUGGGUAACCUGCCUUACACAGGGGGAUAACACCUGGAAACAGGUGCUAAUACCGCAUAAGCGCACAGGGCCGCAUGGCCCGGUGUGAAAAACUCCGGUGGUGUAAGAUGGACCCGCGUCUGAUUAGCUUGUUGGCGGGGUAGAGGCCCACCAAGGCGACGAUCAGUAGCCGGCCUGAGAGGGUGGACGGCCACAUUGGGACUGAGACACGGUCCAAACUCCUACGGAAGGCAGCAG